CAGAGUGCCUCGGCGGAGGGGCCCGGCGGGAACAAACAGCCGCCGCCGCGGGAGCGCUGCUCGGGUGGCCGGAGGCAGAUCCUCCUCUUGGCCGCAGAUCCCGCAAACGCUCGCUCUCUGGAGCCGCUGCCUUCAGUGCGCUCAGCCCUGGAUGGUAAGGGUUCACGCGGGUGCCAGCUGGAGCUGGGAGCAGCAGCGAUAGUCCCCCAUCCGUCAUCUCCCCAAAGCAGCGCUCGGGCCACCGAGGCCGACGCGCAGUUGGAGCCGCACCAGCGGAGCCUGAGACGCCGGGACCAACGCCGCCGGAGCGGGACCCGAGGGAACCCGAGCGGCUUCCGGCCCAAGGCGAGACGCACUUAAGUGAUCGCAAGGAGCAAAGCUGGCGUUCUGAGCCUCGGGCCUCGGAGAGGUGAAGCACAACCCUGAAGAUUACCUGAAGGAGCUUCUCUACUGACAUGCUGGCCAGUGUCCUUGCCAAAGAUGUCACUUUCCUAGACAUUUCUCAUCUCGUCCCCACUAUUUCAAGAUCCCAGGGACAGAGACUUGUAUGGCAAACAAGAUUUGAAUUCAGAAUUCAAGAAGCACUUCCCGACUUCAGCCAAGUAAGAAGGAUCCUCUUCUUCCUGUCUGUGGAAAUUUCUUGGAUUUGGAAGGACUUUAUCAUGAAGUUCUGUGAGGCAGGAGGACUGUAACAC
rnacentral:lncRNA from 1 species